rnacentral:rRNA from 1 species
UACAGAGGCCUCGAGCGUUAGGCGGAAUCACUGGGCUUAAAGCGUGUGUAGGUGGAUGCCUAAGUCCCUUGUGAAAUCCCACGGCUUAACCGUGGAACUGUUGGGUAUACUGGGCGUCUUGAGCCACUCAGGGGCUACCGGAACAAGCGGUGGAGCGGUGAAAUGCGUAGAUAUCGUAAGGAAGACCAGUGGCGAAGGCGGGUCUCUGGACAGUUCCUGACGCUGAGGCACGAAGGCCAGGGGAGCAAACGGG